rnacentral:rRNA from 1 species
CACGUAGUUAGCCGUGGCUUUCUGGUUAGGUACCGUCAAGGUACCAGCAGUUACUCUGGUACUUGUUCUUCCCUAACAACAGGACUUUACGACCCGAAAGCCUUCAUCGUUCACGCGGCGUUGCUCCGUCAGACUUUCGUCCAUUGCGGAAGAUUCCCUACUGCUGCCUCCCGUAGGAGUCUGGGCCGUGUCUCAGUCCCAGUGUGGCCGAUCACCCUCUCAGGUCGGCUACGCAUCGUCGCCUUGGUGGGCCAUUACCCCACCAACUAGCUAAUGCGCCGCGGGCCCAUCUGUAAGUGAUAGCCAAAACCAUCUUUCCAUCUUCUCUCAUGCGAGAGAAGAACGUAUCCGGUAUUAGCUCCGGUUUCCCGAAGUUAUCCCAGUCUUACAGGCAGGUUGCCCACGUGUUACUCACCCGUCCGCCGCUGACUUCAGGGAGCAAGCUCCCAUCCGUCCGCUCGACUUGCAUGUAUUAGGCACGCCGCCAGCGUUCGUCCUGAGCCAGGAUCAAA